CCGAGUGAGGGUCCCAGAAGGGACCCAAUCUCCCACCCGUGUUUAACUGUAGCCAUGUUGCUUUGGCGGGCCCACUAGGACCCGGUUCCUGGUCGCCGAGGGGGAAUCCCCCCUGGGCCUGUGCCCGCCGGAGACCAUCAAAAACACUCUCUGAACUUUAAGCUGGUCUGAGUGAACUUUGUGGACAAAAUUAUUUUUGA
rnacentral:misc_RNA from 1 species